rnacentral:rRNA from 1 species
CGAACGCUGGCGGCGUGCCUAAUACAUGCAAGUAGCACGCUGAAGAGAGGAGCUUGCUCUUCUUGGAUGAGUUGCGAACGGGUGAGUAACGCGUAGGUAACCUGCCUUGUAGCGGGGGAUAACUAUUGGAAACGAUAGCUAAUACCGCAUAACAAUGGAUGACACAUGUCAUUUAUUUGAAAGGGGCAAUUGCUCCACUACAAGAUGGACCUGCGUUGUAUUAGCUAGUAGGUGAGGUAAUGGCUCACCUAGGCGACGAUACAUAGCCGACCUGAGAGGGGGAUCGGCCACACUGGGACUGAGACACGGCCCAGACUCCUACGGGAGGCAGCAGUAGGGAAUCUUCGGCAAUGGGGGCAACCCUGACCGAGCAACGCCGCGUGAGUGAAGAAGGUUUUCGGAUCGUAAAGCUCUGUUGUAAGUCAAGAACGGGUGUGAGAGUGGAAAGUUCACACUGUGACGGUAGCUUACCAGAAAGAGACGGCUAACUACGUG